rnacentral:rRNA from 1 species
UACGUAGGGUGCAAGCGUUAUCCGGAAUUAUUGGGCGUAAAGAGCUCGUAGGCGGUUUGUCGCGUCUGCUGUGAAAACCCGAGGCUCAACCUCGGGCCUGCAGUGGGUACGGGCAGACUAGAGUGCGGUAGGGGAGAUUGGAAUUCCUGGUGUAGCGGUGGAAUGCGCAGAUAUCAGGAGGAACACCAAUAGCGAAGGCAGCUCGCUGGGACGGUACUGACGCUGAGGCGCGAAAGCGUGGGGAGCGAACAGG